UCUGACGACGCAACGCCGCGUGAAGGAUGAAGGUCUUCGGAUUGUAAACUUCUGUUGGGUGGGAAGAACUGUUUCCGGAUCAAUACCCCGGAGAUUUGACGGUACCACCUGAGGAAGCCCCGGCUAACUCUGUGCCAGCAGCCGCGGUAAUACAGAGGGGGCAAGCGUUGUUCGGAAUUACUGGGCGUAAAGGGCGCGUAGGCGGCCUGUUAAGUCAGACGUGAAAUCCCCCGGCUCAACCGGGAAACUGCGUCUGAUACUGGCGGGCUUGAGUUCGGGAGAGGAAUGUGGAAUUCCAGGUGUAGCGGUGAAAUGCGUAGAUAUCUGGAGGAACACCGGUGGCGAAGGCGGCAUUCUGGACCGACACUGACGCUGAGGCGCGAAAGCCAGGGGAGCAAACGGGAUUAGAUACCCCGGUAGUCCUGGCCCUAAACGAUGAGUGCUUGGUGUGGCGGGUAUCGAUCCCUGCCGUGCCGAAGCUAACGCGAAAGCACUCCGCC
rnacentral:rRNA from 1 species